GUUUGACCUUAUUACCACUUGUACACACACAACCCCCACCACGUCACGAUACACAUAAGUUUAAAUAGCAUCGACGUGGCCUCUCCACAGCACUACACUAUACACUACGUGUCGGACACAGCCGACCACAAGCCCACGGAACCCCGUGCUGACGCCUCCCCCAUUGGGACUAUCCACUAAAAGGAACCUGAAUAUUUUACUUGGACGGUUUUAAAUUUAAUUUUAAUUAACGACUCGCUUUGCUGGGUGAUUUUUUAAAAGCUAUUGGGACACCUGCA